GCCGAAGCCACGCCACCCGCUGCGCCGCGGCUCGCGAGCUGCAAUCUUCCUCAAGUUCCUCGUCUGAGGUGUUUUAGGAAUACUCUUCCCGAGCCGCCGCAGCAUUGCCUGGACUCGCUCAACUUUCUUUCGGGGAGAAAGAGUCUAAAGUUACAAUUUGUUUAAUUCCAAUACCAGAUUCCUAUAAGGAAGGGUUUGCUUUCAUUUGGGGGGGCAGGAAAAGGGAUUUGAAUGGAGGGUGGGGCGCGGCUCUGGUCCGAGCGGGCGCUCCUUCCUGGGGGAAUGGGCCGCGGGGACUGGAGUAAGAAAGAGGAAGUUUCGCAUAAAGAGUGAAGGUUGCAGAAGAAAUGUGAAACCGGGGAGGGGUGGAGAACCCUUGUGCCUUUCACCCCAGUCGCGGUCGCCGUCUUGGCGUCGCAUAGAGGGGCGGCGGCGGCAGAAACCUGCGCCCUCAGCGCCCCCAGCGCCCCCCGAAUGUUGAGGGAAUCGGGGGUCCCAGGCCCCGACGGUAAACUCGGAACUCACCAACCUCGACACCCCAGGACUGACUGACCUGUACCGCAAAAAGCUCUCGAGAGGUUUAAAUAAGUGGAUUUUGUGUGUAAGAAAGCCACUGCAUAGUGAACUUUGCAUUCUGCUUUCAGAGAUGGAUACCAGAAAGGGUCUUUGCAUGGAAAUAGCACUGAAGUGCAUCGAAGAACUGCAAUAACAAUUAGAAACCCUCUGAUCCCCAGGUUUUGUUUGAAAAAUGAAUAAUUGGACUGUGAAAACGUCCCGUGACCCCUGUGCUCACUCAAGCACCCAGACCCCUCCAGAAAUGAAUCCAUGGCUAUAUAGGUUCACGUUGAUUGAUCCACUGCGAUGCAGAAGUGCUCACAUCAGAGGAACCGUAAAGCAUCUCAAAGAAGAGGAAGUUAUCACAGGACCCGGGGAAAGGAGUUCAGCUUUCCUGAAGGAAGGAAACAACUAACCCUGACACCUUAACUGACUUCUGUUGAUCACUAGUCCUCUCAAGAAUAAAGCCAACCCUAGUUUAAAGUGUCUUUAUAGACUUAUGAUGAGGCCUAGCUGAGACAGACCUCAGAGAAACCUGGAUAGAAUCUGACCAAGAAGAGAAUCUGAUUUCAUGUUUGCUGCUGUCAAGAGGAUGAAGUUGUCUAUAAGAUACUAUCUUACUGACAACAAUCCCAUGUGAAGGUAGCAUUGUCUACUCAGCUCCCUCUGCAGAAGGGUGUGGGCCCCAACAUUGAAACUCUUCCUGUUUUCCAGAAAAAGCACAAUUCAGAGUUCAUUUCAAUCCCUAGUUUUAAGACUCAAAUCAAAUUGGUCAUUAAUUUAAUAAUAAUUUAGACAUAAUAUGACCUUAGUAAAAUAUGACUGGUGGGCUGGAUGUGGCAGGUACACCAGUUUUCAACCUUUACAGCACAAUGUCACAAAGACAUUUAUCUAUCUUUAGCCCUCUUCUUUAUAAUCUGAACAAUCCUUUCUUCAACAAUUGCUGAGCUCUCAUCUGCAAACCUGACCUUUUUAUCUGUGUGACAUUACCAUCUCUCCAUAUGCAUAUAUGCCACUUUAUUUAGGAUUGCUAUACUAUAACCUGAAAUUUACCAUUCUAGAAAUGGAAUUAAUUAUCCUCUUCCUCCUGCCAACAUUUAAUUCCAGCUGCUCAGCUCUCUAAUUUUGAUUAUCAGUACAGUGUCAGCAUUCUUCUCUUCCAAACUAAGAAAGUUACUACAAAAGGUGACUACAAUUUUGUUUAUCCCCUAUUCAUACAAAAGAGAAACAUGGAAAUUUGUAGCUGAAGUUCAACCUCCACUCCACUAUUCCCCUUUUUUCCCCAGCUCAGAAGAUCUAAGGAAUGAUUAGUCAGUCUAGAGCAAUGAUUUCCAAAUUGUACUUUAGAAAAGAAAAAAAGUUCCAAAAAAGUGGCACAGGUGGCUGCAUGGGUGGGGAGAGAAAGGAAGUGGAUAGAAGGGCCACACAGUGAAACUCUGGGAACUUUUAACAUGCAAAAAAAAACCUGUUGCCUGUCAACUUUUGUGUCUUCCUUUCUCCUCCACAACACAUUCUGGAAACUCAGGCUCCAUGAAAGCAAAAGCCAGGAAAAGAAGCAUUUUGUAAGAGCCUUGUGCUUUCAGACUCACCACUUAUACUUCUCCCAGGCAGGGAAGCACCAAGAUCCUCACAACACAGAAUCAGAGAGGAGAAAAAUGCAAUGUGAAAAACAAAAUGUUUCUCAGAAUUAUCCUGUCACAUGAGUCCAGGAAUGAUGUAUCAGGCAAUAAUGAUUUAAGAAAUAUUACCAGGGGAAACAAAAAGAAUGAUUUAAAAACUGGUUACAAACUGGUUAAUGUUUUUCUUCCAAAUAUAGAGAAGACUGCUGUUUAGUGAAGGAGUAGGCUUAUGUGAGUAUAGUUUGAGAUUCGUUAGUAUAACUUUUACUUAUGAAAAGUGAGUGGUACUUUUACCUAUACAAUUUAAAUCUCCCUAGACAUGAUAUCUCCACUGUAGAAAUUGGUCUCUAGUGAUGGUCCUCUCAUGAACCAUGCCUCCUGAUAUUCACACUUUUGUGCAGUCUCUAAACAAAGAAGUAUGGCACUGUACGUGCUAUCUGAGAAGCCUUGCAGUUUCCAGCUUGGUCUCUUUAAAUAUUCUUUCUGGGAACACUAACUACAUAUAAGAAGAUCAGCUGCCCUGAGAACACCGUGCUGCAAGUGUCUUGUGAGGGCACUCCAGCCAGUUGUCCUUGCCAUCCCUGCCUAGGGACAAUCUUGUGAGGAAAGCCUUCUGCGCCAUCCGUUACAUCCACCAGCUGCGUACCAGUGUGAAAUCUCGAUUGACACUCCUGAAGUAGAAGAAUCACCCAGCUGAGGCCUACCCAGAUUCCUGGCCUCAAAAAUCAUGAACUGUAAUAAAAUGCUUAUUGUUUUAAGCAGCUUAGCUUUAAAUAAUUUGUUACAUAGCAAUACAGUAACUAAAAUUGUGAUGUACAACUUGGAACUGAAUAUUUAUUUUCUGGAAUUAAUCCUGUCAAAUGAUCCUCAUGUAUAAUAAAAAUACUUAGAUUAUACUAUAUUUUAGAUAAGUUAUAAAUUUAAAAGUUGGAUGGAGUCUAAUAACAAUCACUGUUUAGAGCAUUACUACUGUAAGAAAAUUUGUUUUAUAUUUCAUGUAAAGCAAGUUUUUUUUUAAAGAGCUUUUAGAAUAGGAAAUGGUAGCAUUGUCUUUUUCAAAUAUAUAUAAGACAGCCCUGUUCCUUUCCAGUUCCCCGUCCUAGCUGAGGCUUCACUACUUCAUGCCUGGAUUCCUAACAGCCCUCCAUCUCUUUUCCUUUGACCAUUCAGUAAUUACAGGUGAAUUGGUACUGUGGGCCAGGUCCUUACAUAGGGGCUGGAGAUACUGUGGUAGAAAGCCUAAAUGAUUCUCACUACAUCCCCAAUUUGCAUGCAAUUUUCAGAUUAAUUUAUUGCUUUUAUUACAUUAUUUCAUUGCUCAAGAAUCUACAACUCCCCUACUCAAAGAGGUUCAGAUUCCUUUAGGUUGGAUACAAAGCCUUCAAUCACCGACUUUCCUUAGACAAGAAUAGUUUUCCCACUGCAUUCUCAAUCCUGGAAACUGGCCUUUUCACUGUCCUUCUUAUCAUUUGUUCAUUUUAAAGUUAUGUUGAUCUCACCAUGUAGGUCUCUCACUUAUGCCCAUCUCACUUGUAUCGUUCCUCAAGUCCAUUUUCCACAGGUGGCCUUUCAGUGUGGAAUUAUUGGAUAAGUCAGGCAGAAAACCCUUAUGCUCUGUUUAGUACCAUAGUGUAAUUCUUUAGAACAUAUUUUAAAAAUAUUUUAUCAAAACAUCAUAUAUUUAUACCUUAAAAAAUAAAAUGACGUUACAAUAAUGAAAAUAGAAGUCCUUGCUCCAUCCACUCUAAUUUUCAUUUCUUUCUUCUAGGGCAACCCCUUUAACUUUUGGUAGUUCUCCUGCUCUUUAUCUCCAUGUUUAUAAAUAAUAUUUUUCUACUGCUGCUUCUUAAUUUAUUGAUCAUUUAUUAUUAAAUGGAGUUAUAUCUCCUUUUCAUUGCCCUCCUUUUGAAUCAACACACACACUUUAUCUUCUCUGUGUACUUCUAUCACCAUUUUUAGUGAAAUUAAUAUGCAAUGUUUAUGCUCUAAGACUAAUUAUUAUUUGCAGCUUAGCCAUAUAGUGCACUGUGACUGCAUUGCCUAUCUUGUGCAACUUUUUGGUUUUUUUGUUCAGAAGUUUAAAAAUUGCCUCAUUUUUUACCCCUGCUGUUUAAUGAUUUAUUUCAAAUAUCCACCAGAGCAUAAAACUACUCUUCUAGCUCCUAUUUUUGUGUCCAGAUAUGUGAUUUGUUUUGUAUAUGAUUUACCAUUUUCUUCCAAGAGCUUUUAGUAUCUUCUUUCUCUGUACUUCUCUCUUCUUUCCUAUUUUUCAUCCUUGUAUUUUGUUCUCCUUUCUGGGAGAUUUAACCUUAUUCUUCCCUCUUCUAUUGCAGAUAAAGAUACAGUAGAAAUAUAAGAUAUAGCUAUAGAUAUUCAGAGAACAAAAUUUAUUGGGUGUGCUAAUUUCACCUGGGCACGUAUGUGUGUGUUUGUGCAUGUAAAAUUCUAUGAAUUUUAAUUCUCUGGAUGUUUUUAAUGAGAUGAUUUUAUUUCAUGAAAAAUACCUUCCUUUUUUAGUACUGGGGAUUAAACCCAGGUCCUGUGCACUGAGUGACAUUCCUAACCCUUUUGUAUUUUCUCUUUUGAGACACAGUCUUGCUAAAUUGCCCAGUCUGGGCUUGAACUUCCAGUCCUCUUGUCUCAGCCUCCUAGAUUGCUGGGAUUACAGGCAUGAAUCAUCAUGCCCAGCAAUCCUUUCUUAUCAGUCUAAGGGUAAUGUGGGUUUUUUGGUUUUUUUUUCAUGUUUAGUUUUUUUUGGAAUCUGCCACUCAUGUUAGAGAAUUUCCUCAAAUAUACGGUAGACCUUGGUGUUCUAACAUAUUUAAAUGAGAAACUGAACAUUUGUGCAUGUUAUUAAUGUUUAGAGAUUGGAAGAUUUUUCCUACGGUGUACUUGGGCAGGACCUACUCAUUUCAUCAUGGAAGAUCUAAGUAUCAUUUUUCAAGUUUAAAUUUCCAUUGUUUUAAAUUGACAAAUAAAAUUGUCUUUAUCACA